rnacentral:tRNA from 1 species
GCAUUGGUGGCUCAGUGGUAGAAUUCUUGCCUUCCCUGCAGGAGAUCCGGGUUCAAUUCCCGGCCAAUGCA